rnacentral:rRNA from 1 species
CCUACGGGUGGCAGCAGUAGGGAAUAUUGCUCAAUGGGGGAAACCCUGAAGCAGCCACGCCGCGUGGAGGAUGACGGUUUUCUGAUUGUUAACCCCUUUUGUUAGAGAAGAUAAUGACGGUAUCUGACUAAUAAGCACCGGCUAACUCCGUGCCAGCAGCCGCGGUACUACGGAGGGUGCAAGCGUUACUCGGAAUCACUGGGCGUAAAGAGCGCGUAGGCGGGAUAGCAAGUCAGAGGGGAAAUCCUAUGGCUUAAGCAUAGAACUGCAUUUGAAACUGUUAUUCUAGAGUAUGGGAGAGGUAGGUGGAAUGCGUGGUGUAGGGGUGAAAUCCGUAGAGAUCAAGCAGAAUACUGAUUGCGAAGGCGGCCUACCAGAACACAACUGACGCUGAUGCACGAAAGCGUGGGGAGCAAACAGGAUUAGAUACCCUGGUAGUC